GAUGAACGCUAGCUACAGGCUUAACACAUGCAAGUCGAGGGGCAGCAUGGUCUUAGCUUGCUAAGGCCGAUGGCGACCGGCGCACGGGUGAGUAACACGUAUCCAACCUGCCGUCUACUCUUGGACAGCCUUCUGAAAGGAAGAAUUAAUACAAGAUGGCAUCAUGAGUCCACAUGUUCACAUGAUUAAAGGUAUUCCGGUAGACGAUGGGGAUGCGUUCCAUUAGAUAGUAGGCGGGGUAAUGGCCCACCUAGUCUUCGAUGGAUAGGGGUUCUGAGAGGAAGGUCCCCCACAUUGGAACUGAGACACGGUCCAAACUCCUACGGGAGGCAGCAGUGAGGAAUAUUGGUCAAUGGGCGAGAGCCUGAACCAGCCAAGUAGCGUGAAGGAUGACUGCCCUAUGGGUUGUAAACUUCUUUUAUAAAGGAAUAAAGUCGGGUAUGCAUACCCGUUUGCAUGUACUUUAUGAAUAAGGAUCGGCUAACUCCGUGCCAGCAGCCGCGGUAAUACGGAGGAUCCGAGCGUUAUCCGGAUUUAUUGGGUUUAAAGGGAGCGUAGAUGGAUGUUUAAGUCAGUUGUGAAAGUUUGCGGCUCAACCGUAAAAUUGCAGUUGAUACUGGAUAUCUUGAGUGCAGUUGAGGCAGGCGGAAUUCGUGGUGUAGCGGUGAAAUGCUUAGAAAUCACGAAGAACUCCGAUUGCGAAGGCAGCCUGCUAAGCUGCAACUGACAUUGAGGCUCGAAAGUGUGGGUAUCAAACAGGAUUAGAUACCCUGGUAGUCCACACGGUAAACGAUGAAUACUCGCUGUUUGCGAUAUACAGCAAGCGGCCAAGCGAAAGCGUUAAGUAUUCCACCUGGGGAGUACGCCGGCAACGGUGAAACUCAAAGGAAUUGACGGGGGCCCGCACAAGCGGAGGAACAUGUGGUUUAAUUCGAUGAUACGCGAGGAACCUUACCCGGGCUUAAAUUGCAGAUGAAUUACGGUGAAAGCCGUAAGCCGCAAGGCAUCUGUGAAGGUGCUGCAUGGUUGUCGUCAGCUCGUGCCGUGAGGUGUCGGCUUAAGUGCCAUAACGAGCGCAACCCUUGUUGUCAGUUACUAACAGGUUCCGCUGAGGACUCUGACAAGACUGCCAUCGUAAGAUGUGAGGAAGGUGGGGAUGACGUCAAAUCAGCACGGCCCUUACGUCCGGGGCUACACACGUGUUACAAUGGGGGGUACAGAGGGCCGCUACCACGCGAGUGGAUGCCAAUCCCAAAAACCUCUCUCAGUUCGGACUGGAGUCUGCAACCCGACUCCACGAAGCUGGAUUCGCUAGUAAUCGCGCAUCAGCCACGGCGCGGUGAAUACGUUCCCGGGCCU
rnacentral:rRNA from 1 species